rnacentral:rRNA from 1 species
UGCCAGCCGCCGCGGUAAUACGUAUGGUGCAAGUGUUAUCCGGAAUCACUGGCCGUAAAGGGUACGUAGGCGGUUUUGCAAGUCAGAAGUGAAAGGCUACGGCUCAACCGUGGAAUUGCAUUUGAUACUGCAUCGCUAGAGUAUAGGAGAGGGAAGUGGAAUUUCUGGUGUAGGAGUGAAAUCCGUAGAUAUCUGGAGGAACACCGGUGGCGAAGGCGGCCAACUGGACGAGUACUGACGCUGAGGUACGAAAGCGUGGGGAGCAAACAGGAUUCGAUA